AGCGAACGCUGGCGGCAGGCCUAACACAUGCAAGUCGAACGAACCUUUCGGGGUUAGUGGCGGACGGGUGAGUAACACGUGGGAACGUGCCUUUAGGUUCGGAAUAACUCAGGGAAAAUUGUGCUAAUACCGAAUGUGCCCUUCGGGGGAAAGAUUUAUCGCCUUUAGAGCGGCCCGCGUCUGAUUAGCUAGUUGGUUGAGGUAAUGGCUCACCAAGGCGACGAUCAGUAGCUGGUCUGAGAGGAUGAUCAGCCACAUUGGGACUGAGACACGGCCCAAACUCCUACGGGAGGCAGCAGUGGGGAAUCUUGCGCAAUGGGCGAAAGCCUGACGCAGCCAUGCCGCGUGAAUGAUGAAGGUCUUAGGAUUGUAAAAUUCUUUCACCGGGGACGAUAAUGACGUUACCCGGAGAAGAAGCCCCGGCUAACUUCGUG
rnacentral:rRNA from 1 species